rnacentral:rRNA from 1 species
CCUACGGGUGGCAGCAGUGGGGAAUAUUGCACAAUGGGGGAAACCCUGAUGCAGCGACGCCGCGUGAGCGAGGAAGUAUUUCGGUAUGUAAAGCUCUAUCAGCAGGGACGAAAAAAGACGGUACCCCUUGAAUAAGCCACGGCCAACCACGGGCCAGCAGCCGCGGUAAUACGUAGGUGGCAAGCGUUUUCCGGAUUUACUGGGUGUAAAGGGCGUGCAGCCGGGAAGACAAGUCAGAUGGUAAAUCCCGCGGCUCAACCGCGGAACUGCAUUUGAAACUGUUUUUCUUGAGUAUCGGAGAGGUAAUCGGAAUUCCUAGUGUAGCGGUGAAAUGCGUAGAUAUUAGGAAGAACACCAGGGGCGAAGGCGGAUUACUGGACGGCAACUGACGGUGAGGCGCGAAAGCGUGGGGAGCAAACAGGAUUAGAUACCCGUGUAGUC